UGCUCUUGACUGCUGAACUCUUUCUCCGGCCCCUGUAGCUGCUUCUCAGAUUGCAUAAAGAUCAUUGUCACCAAGCAGAGCUGAAUAGAGAGCAACACAAGGCGCAAGCUUUAAGCUGUUCCAGGCUUUGAACCGUGUCUACUCUCCACCUCUCAUCAGUGUUGCCGUUAUCCUGAGCAUGGGUCUUGCCCUUCUACCUCAAGAGCAUCGCCUGCCACCAGCUCGAAGACACGGGACAAUCUGGAGCUUCAAACCCAUGUGACAGUCUACUCUGGUCUGGACCUCUGUCCAUUCUCUCUGCUCUAACACAGAGUUCUAGAAAAUAUGCAAUUCUGUAGAGACAUGGUUACCAGAAAAUGGAGCAGCCUGGCUCAUUUAAAAGUCUUGCAGUGAUAAAAUGCUCGGACGGAAGCAACAUGGAGGAGACAGGGUUUGUUCUAGCACACAGCUCUGGUGUGGAACUGUGUGGAGAAGCCACAGGGGACUUGGAGGCAAGCCGGGAGAGAGGGAGGAGAAAGAGAUCGCCAUGAUGGGGAAGAAGGAAGAGGAGACCUAAAGGCCAGCUGACAUGACCAACGGUACUGUUGCUCUAGCUACAGGAAUAAUCCUGGGCAGCACUUGUUGACCUUGGUCACUGUCAAGGGAAGAUCGGCUGUUCCCACUGAGGGCAUCUUGAUGGAUUAAGGUGAUCAGCUGAUCAAUGUGAGGGGACAGAUGGGAGCUAGGAACUGUCUCGGUACUGAGUCAUUUUUCAUCUAAUGUGCAAGAAACCCAAAGAGCACAUCAAACAGCGAACUACGCCUAAGCUAUCCAUGUUUCUCCUGCUUCUUCUGAGAGGGUGAUUUACACGUAGCUCAACACUCGAGUGUUGCAGUAUCGAGUGACUGCAACCAAACAAUGGAACAUGCAUCGUGCCUGUUGACAGAGCCUGCAGUUGGCUUGGAACCGGGACCAUGCUGCAUUCGACAUCGUUCCUGGUGGCUGACUUGUUCCCAUAGAAUUAAAUGCUAGGCAUCCAGAAGCUGACUGUGCAUCUGAUGGGCUCACUAACAUUCAGGAACAGGUUGGCCUCAGACUUCAUCAAUGGAAAGUGAGCUGAAGUCUUUCUGUUUACAAAUUUGCCAAUUUCCUUUGAGGAAGCUUGAUCACGGAGCUCUUCUGCAUCAGGUGAUUGAUGCCCUGCAGGUACUUCAAGCAACAUCAUGCAUAUCAAACCUGCCCUCUGCCUGGACUGUUUACAGCUGCCUUUUUGCUAGCUGAACUGCCUGACACUUCGGCUCAAAGACUCAUUUAUCACUGAGGGCGCAUGCCGUUAUCUGAGCACCUUCCGAAGCAUCACACGCCAUCUCUAGACUUCCUGGGAUUGUCUACGGAUACAACACUUGCUCUCAUAAGUUGGUUACAUAAACAUAAAAGAAUGAACUUUAAACUAAAAUUUCUGACUUUUAUCUCUUUGCAGUGUAGGCAUAGGACAAAAAAAAGAGCACGUUUGAAAGACUACAUUUUCAUGAAAUUGGAAAUGCUACAUGCAAGCUGCAGAUGCUGAUUGCAGAGUCAGAAGACAUGGCCGUCAGUGUUAGGACUCUGCCUUAUUCUGCUAUUUCUCCUUGACGACCUACAGUUUGCAUUGUGGGUGGCAUUCAUUAACGAGGGCAGUAAAAACAUGGAGAAAACAUUGCAAGCUCUCCUUCGUGUUUCGCUCACUGGCCAAGUAGCUAACCAACUAGGUGUUCAGGCUCCCAUGUGUCUCAAUAUGAUGUGGCUCCUUCCAGUAGCAACCAUCCUGAGCAGAGACCUUUGUUCUAAUUUAAAAAUUAGACAUGAUAUAGAGCUUACCACACAUUUUUCCCCCUGAAGAUUAAAGAUCUUCAUGAAGGUACUGGCUUAAAAGACAUCAACCCCAAGCCUUUCGAAGGAUAUGCACUUGAGAUUGCCAUACUCGAUGGUGCGUCCAAUUAACUUAGAAAUACCCUUGACAUUUCUCAUCCGUGAAGAGAAGCUUUAGGUGACAGUUUUCAUGGUGUGGGUACUCUCGGUGCCUAAUUUGCUUUUUUUUCUUGUUUUCAAGCCUGAAAGGGAAAUAGCCUUGGCUUUCAGCUCUGGAGCGCGAUGCCCUCCUUACGAGUAUUCAGCUACUGUCUGAACCAUUGUACUUGCCUUCCCCUCCAUACCCCUUUUUCCCCAAAGUCCCGUUGAUAGCUCAUU
rnacentral:lncRNA from 1 species